rnacentral:rRNA from 1 species
UGGGUUUAAAGGGUGCGUAGCCUGAUAGAUAAGUCAGUGGUGAAAUCUUGCGGCUUAACCGUAAAACUGCCAUUGAUACUGUUUAUCUAGAGUACAUAUGAGGUAGGCGGAAUAUAGUAUGUAGCGGUGAAAUGCAUAGAUAUACUAUAGAACACCGAUUGCGAAGGCAGCUUACUAAAUUGUUACUGACGCUGAGGCACGAAAGCGUGGGGAGCGAACAGGAUUAGAUACCCUGGUAGUCCACGCAGUAAACGAUGAUUACUCGAUGUUGGCGAUACACUGUCAGCGUCUGCGCGAAAGCAUUAAGUAAUCCACCUGGGGAGUACGAUCGCAAGGUUGAAACUCAAAGGAAUUGACGGGGGCCCGCACAAGCGGAGGAGCAUGUGGUUUAAUUCGAUGAUACGCGAGGAACCUUACCUGGGCUUAAAUGUAGUGUGCAUUAGCGAUGAAAAUCCUAUUUCCUUCGGGACCCACUACAAGGUGCUGCAUGGUUGUCGUCAGCUCGUGCCGUGAGGUGUCGGGUUAAGUCCCAUAACGAGCGCAACCCCUACUCUUAGUUGCCAUCAGGUAAUGCUGGGGACUCUAAGAAAACUGCCGGCGCAAGCCGUGAGGAAGGUGGGGAUGACGUCAAAUCAGCACGGCCCUUAUGUCCAGGGCUACACACGUGCUACAAUGGUCGGCACAAAGGGCAGCUACACAGCGAUGUGACGCUAAUCUCCAAAGCCGAUCCUAGUUCGGAUCGAAGUCUGCAAUUCGACUUCGUGAAGUUGGAUUCGCUAGUAAUCGUAUAUCAGCAAUGAUACGGUGAAUAUGUUCCCGGGCCUUGUACACACCGCCCGUCAAGCCAUGGAAGCUGAGGUACCUGAAGUUUGUGA